UGCAGUCGAGCGGAACGAGUUAACUGAACCUUCGGGGAACGUUAACGGCGUCGAGCGGCGGACGGGUGAGUAAUGCCUAGGAAAUUGCCCUGAUGUGGGGGAUAACCAUUGGAAACGAUGGCUAAUACCGCAUAAUNCCUUCGGCUCAAAGAGGGGGACCUUCGGGCCUCUCGCGUCAGGAUAUGCCUAGGUGGGAUUAGCUAGUUGGUGAGGUAAGGGCUCACCAAGGCGACGAUCCCUAGCUGGUCUGAGAGGAUGAUCAGCCACACUGGAACUGAGACACGGUCCAGACUCCUACGGGAGGCAGCAGUGGGGAAUAUUGCACAAUGGGCGCAAGCCUGAUGCAGCCAUGCCGCGUGUGUGAAGAAGGCCUUCGGGUUGUAAAGCACUUUCAGUCGUGAGGAAGGUUNNNNNGUUAAUAGCNNANNNAUUUGACGUUAGCGACAGAAGAAGCACCGGCUAA
rnacentral:rRNA from 1 species